GGCCGUGUGGCGAAAUGGCAUCGCGUCUGACUACGAUUUAGAUUGGAAUCAGGAGAUUGCAGGUUCGACCCCUGUCUCGGUCA
rnacentral:tRNA from 1 species